rnacentral:lncRNA from 8 species
GAAAAUGUGUGAUUUAGCCUAAGUUUCUGCUUGACAAAGUAAAGUCUUAUUAGAUAUGGCAUCUAUGUAAAGAUGGAGUUUUUCCACCGUUUAUCACAACUUUCCAGGAGGUUAAAUAGGAGACAAUAAAGUAUUGCAGAGAAAUAAGGAAUUAUUGUUAAAAAAAAAACCUAGUAACACAUUGCUUAUGCUGUCACUGCAGUAUCUUGAAAAUUCGAGUUCUUUUUACGCAGGUUCUCAUUUAAUAGCACACCAAUUAUUAUACCAAAUUUGUGUGGGAAUUUGACAUGUUUAUGCUGUGCAGGAAUCCAUUCAGUUCUUGCCGGGCACGCUGUCCAGAUUACAGAGAUUAUUUUGUGGUGCCAGUGAAAAGAUGCGCAAUUUCCCAUGACCUGAACCCACUCCCUCCCGUAGUCAUAUUUAGUGAACUCUGAAUGCCUUUGGAGCUGAGUUAUGGAAGAAAGGAAGACCGGCAGAGAAAGCUGUAGAACACUGGGCUGCAGAUUUAACCCCAGAUUCAGUUUCAGUCAGUGGCCACUUGGAAUAAAACAUUAAGGGAAGGGGUCAGAGGUAUAACACCACUGUAUACUUUUCAUUGAAAUCACUCUGACAUCAUCAAGGGAGGAGCAUGCCCCCAUUUCAUGGCAUCAGCACUUGGGAGGCAUAUCUGUAUCCCGAACUUUGCACUUCGGCCUGUGUUGGGUUUCAUGGCUUCUCCAAGUGCUGUUUACGGGUGUGAUCCGUUUACAGUCACCAAAUUGCAUAUUUCAUAGCAGAGACGUGUGCUGCUGCGGACAGCAUACUUUCAGAAAUCAACACCCAGGAGAUAUACUCGCUGGUGGACACGUCAACGACAAGCCCACCCAUGGGUGGUGGUGUGGCAGAAGGCCAAGGUGUCCGAUCACAGGAUUGCUCUCAUGGCUAUGCUGUGGGCCAACGCUGUGGCCCACCUGCUUUUUAGUCCACCAUCAACAAGAACAACCAGAGGUGGUCCGGCAGCACUACCUGGCUCAGUACCCGGCAGACUCUGCCCGCAGCCGUUAUCCCACUAUGAUGCUCAACAUCACUGUUCCCGCAUCCACUGUAGACGUCAACCUGACCCCCAAGAAGACCCAGAUUCUGCACCAGAACAAGAAUUGGCUGUAGGGCAAACUAUUUUUCAAGGGAAGUGGGUGACAACUAUCAGCCCUCAACAAACUGUUACGAUCAGUAGGUUUCCUGUAAAGAUCAGUGUAAGCCCUGGUUCGGGGUCUCCUGCUGAGGUGCCACCAGUCACUGUAGAAGAUGCCUACAGUUGCCCAUUAUCACUGGGCAACUGUAGGGGAAACGCUGACGUAGAGGACAGUCUUAUGGAGCACAGUGUCACGGUGGACAAAGCGCCAUUUGGCUACAGUGAUGGCUCUCCAUCCAGGGUAGUGGCUGGUGACCAGACAGUAAACACUAGCUCCUCCUCUUCCUCUGAAGACUGGAUAGUCAACCAAAUCCCAGGGGACUUUGACUUUUUUACUACUGGAAGAUGAAAUUGCUUUGACCUGCAGCGAGAUAACAAAUCCAGGCCCAGCUAAAGGCCUGGAGAGGCUCAACAGCCAUGACCAACAUCCUGACAAAGACGUUGAGCAGUUAUCAGCAGUGAGUUGGAGCCGAGGCACGGCUCUGACAGACCCCUCCACAGGAGAGCCACUGCAGUCCGUCAAGGUCCACCUGCCCACCGGAUGCAGCAGUGACCUGGGCCUGGUCGAGGCCAAGGAUCAGAGCAGCCCUGGCAAAAAGGUGUCCAACGCUAUAACAGAGAAACGUGCGUCACUGACGGCCUACAACCUGAUCAGUAGCCGUACCAUGAGGACCCCCCUGUCCCCCGCUGCCUGUUUGAGAGGGAGACCCGGGCAGAGGUUCUCCAGGAGAAGCCCGCAGCAAGCCUCCAGGACAUCACCUCUGCCGUGCAGGAGAGAUGGAAAAACCUGGGGGAGGAGGACCGAAAGAA